AAAAUAUGUCACCUCCAUGAACAAUAAAAUCAGAGACAAUCACCAGUGUGAGUAAAGCAAGUGAAAAAACUCGGAAAACCGCCAAAUAAAUUGGGUUUAUUAUUUUCACACAUGGUUUCCAAGCUUUGUCAAAAUACAAAAUCCAUGACCGUUUUUGACAAUCCUCCCUUCUAUCAGAUUCUGGAAUUACAUUAACUGAUCGUUCAUACUUCCAUAGAAUGAUCACAGCUAUAACCGUUGGUGUCAAGACCCAUAACGCACAGAGCAAAAACCUCCAGUUCAACCAAUAACUCAGAUCAGUAGUAUCAGCAGUUGUCAGGAGCUGCAUCC
rnacentral:misc_RNA from 1 species